rnacentral:rRNA from 1 species
ACGGGAGGCAGCAGUGAGGAAUAUUGGACAAUGGGGGCAACCCUGAUCCAGCCAAACCGCGUGAGGGAUGAAGGUCCUACGGAUCGUAAACCUCUUUUAUGUGGGAAUAAUUAGCGGGACGUGUUCCGCUUUGAAGGUACCACUUGAAUAAGCAUCGGCUAACUCCGUGCCAGCAGCCGCGGUAAUACGGAGGAUGCAGGCGUUAUCCGGAUUUAUUAGGUUUAAAGGGUGCGCAGGCGGGACAUUAAGUCGGCGGUGAAAUCCCGGGGCCUAACCCCGGAGCUGCCGUCGAUACUGAUGACCUAGAGUGCGUGUGACGUAGGCGGAAUGUGACGUGUAGCGGUGAAAUGCUUAGAUAUGUCACAGAACACCGAUUGCGAAGGCAGCCUACGAAUGCGUAACUGACGCUGAUGCACGAAAGCGCGGGUAGCGAACAGGAUUAGAUACCCUGGUA